rnacentral:rRNA from 1 species
AUUGAACGCUGGCGGCAUGCUUUACACAUGCAAGUCGGACGGCAGCACAGAGAAGCUUGCUUCUUGGGUGGCGAGUGGCGAACGGGUGAGUAAUAUAUCGGAACGUACCGAGUAAUGGGGGAUAACUAAUCGAAAGAUUAGCUAAUACCGCAUAUUCUCUGAGGAGGAAAGCAGGGGACCUUCGGGCCUUGCGUUAUUCGAGCGGCCGAUAUCUGAUUAGCUAGUUGGUGGGGUAAAGGCCUACCAAGGCGACGAUCAGUAGCGGGUCUGAGAGGAUGAUCCGCCACACUGGGACUGAGACACGGCCCAGACUCCUACGGGAGGCAGCAGUGGGGAAUUUUGGACAAUGGGCGCAAGCCUGAUCCAGCCAUGCCGUCGUGUUCUGAAGAAGGCCUUCGGGUUGUAAAGGACUUUUGUCAGGGAAGAAAAGGCUUGUUGUCUCAUACCGACAGCUGAUGACGGUACCUGAAGCAUAAGUCACCGGUCCA